rnacentral:lncRNA from 1 species
CGUUUUGGCUAAGGGUGGAUUCAAAACCAUGAUUAUAUAUGUGAAAUAAGUUGAUUACUUUCAAUUAUCGUUGUAUAAGUCGUGAAUACAAUUUGCUUAACCGUUUGAUUUAGAACUUAUUCUUGUAUGUUGGUUGAGAGUACACGCUUAAUUUGCAUACUUGAAUUUGAUGCUAGGAUAUAAGUUUGUUUCACCUAAUCGUUAUGAAUUUA